UAAACCUUCCAUCGAUCCCGAUAACACAAUCUCACCCCCCUUUCAAUAUCAAACUAUCCACUGCACACAGUGGAGAAAUAAUGCUAAUAUGAGUAAUAAGAGAAAAAAGAUUCUCUCCCUGCACAAGUGUAAUUCGGAGCGGACUAACCACCGAACCUUAACGUCCCCAAACAAAGAGGGAAAUAGAUUACAAGUUAAUUAACUAGAAAAACAUCCAAAACAAACCCGUUAACCCCACACUGGUGUGCUGCAUGGGAAAGACUAAAAGGAGAGGAAGGAACUCGGCAAACACUUAAAGCCUCGCCUGUUUACCAAAAACAUCGCCUCUUGCAAGACCAAUGAAUAAGAGGUCCCGCCUGCCCUGUGACUAUAUGUUUAACGGCCGCGGUAUUUUGACCGUGCGAAGGUAGCGCAAUCACUUGUCUUUUAAAUGGAGACCCGUAUGAAUGGCUCCACGAGGGCUUAGCUGUCUCCCCCUCCCAGUCAAUGAAAUUGAUCUCCCCGUGCAGAAGCGGGGAUAAUAACAUAAGACGAGAAGACCCUAUGGAGCUUAAGGCGCCAGGGCAGCUCACGUUAAACACCCCUAGUUAAAGGAAUGAACCAAGUGAACCCUGCCCCAGUGUUUUUGGUUGGGGCGACCGCGGGGAAAUACAAAACC
rnacentral:rRNA from 1 species